AACGCGAAGAACCUUACCAGCCCUUGACAUGCCGGCUACUUGCAGAGAUGCAAGGUUCCCUUCGGGGACCGGGACACAGGUGCUGCAUGGCUGUCGUCAGCUCGUGUCGUGAGAUGUUGGGUUAAGUCCCGCAACGAGCGCAACCCUCGCCCUUAGUUGCCAGCAUUCAGUUGGGCACUCUAAGGGGACUGCCGGUGAUAAGCCGAGAGGAAGGUGGGGAUGACGUCAAGUCCUCAUGGCCCUUACGGGCUGGGCUACACACGUGCUACAAUGGUGGUGACAGUGGGCAGCGAGCACGCGAGUGUGAGCUAAUCUCCAAAAGCCAUCUCAGUUCGGAUUGCACUCUGCAACUCGAGUGCAUGAAGUUGGAAUCGCUAGUAAUCGCGGAUCA
rnacentral:rRNA from 1 species